UGUAUCUUCAAUAUCACAUAUAUUUUUCUUUAGAAUUAAUGUCAUCCAUGUGUCUUAUAUAAUCAUUCAUUAUAUACAGUAUAAAUCAACACUGUCAUAAUUUAGCAAAUGAAAAGUACAAAUGCCAUCCAAUAGAUCCCGACAAAUUGCCUAUUUAGAGAAUGAUCAAAUUUGUGGACUUGUGCAUCCAACUCCUGCAAAUUUGUGAACAAAACUAGUUAACCCCUUUAAGACAAAAGUGAAGGCAAAAUGAUGUUUGAAGUAGUAACAUGCCAGAUUUACAAAUACCAUAUUUAAAAGUAGCUUAGGAUUCUUGAUUGUUUCGCUCUAUUCUGCAUAUCCAUCUCCAUUGACAUGCAUCCAGAACCUCUAUAUUGAAGAUAUUCCUCUAAGUCUGCCUCUCGAAAUCUGUAUCGAAGUUGUUCCUGUGUUACAACUUUUCCUUGGCUUUGGGCUUGCACCAUCCUCU
rnacentral:misc_RNA from 1 species